UACGUAGGCAGCAAGCGUUGUUCGGAGUUACUGGGCGUAAAGGGUGUGUAGGCGGUUGUUUAAGUUUGGUGUGAAAUCUCCCGGCUCAACUGGGAGGGUGCGCCGAAUACUGAAUGACUAGAGUGCGGGAGAGGAGAGUGGAAUUCCUGGUGUAGCGGUGAAAUGCGUAGAUAUCAGGAGGAACACCGGUGGCGAAGGCGCCACUCUGGGCCGAAACUGACGCUGAGGAGCGAAAGCGUGGGUAGCAAACAGG
rnacentral:rRNA from 1 species